GUGGACAUUAUUGUAAAGUCAAACAUCAUACCAAGUACUUACUGAGGAACGAAGCAUUAACUAAUCAGUACCUGAACAGUACCUACUAAUUUUGCUUCAUUAUUGUAAAGUGAAACAUCAU